GUUAUAUGGUCAAGUGAAGAAGCGCAUACGGUGGAUGCCUUGGCAGUCAGAGGCGAUGAAAGACGUGGUAGCCUGCGAAAAGCUUCGGGGAGUCGGCAAACAGACUGUGAUCCGGAGAUAUCUGAAUGGGGGAACCCAGCCAUCAUAAGAUGGUUAUCUUGUACUGAAUACAUAGGUGCAAGAGGCGAACCAGGGGAACUGAAACAUCUAAGUACCCUGAGGAAAAGAAAUCAACCGAGAUUCCCUUAGUAGUGGCGAGCGAACGGGGACCAGCCCUUAAGUUGUAUUGAGAUUAGCGGAACGUUCUGGAAAGGACGGCCAUAGUGGGUGAUAGCCCUGUACGCGAAAAUCCCUUUGCAAUGAAAUCGAGUAGGACGGGGCACGAGAAACCUUGUCUGAAUAUGGGGGGACCAUCCUCCAAGGCUAAAUACUACUGACUGACCGAUAGUGAACCAGUACCGUGAGGGAAAGGCGAAAAGAACCGCGGAGAGCGGAGUGAAAUAGAUCCUGAAACCGUAUGCGUACAAGCAGUGGGAGCCCACUUUGUUGGGUGACUGCGUACCUUUUGUAUAAUGGGUCAGCGACUUAUUUUCAGUGGCGAGCUUAACCGAAUAGGGGAGGCGUAGCGAAAGCGAGUCUUAAUAGGGCGUCUAGUCGCUGGGAAUAGACCCGAAACCGGGCGAUCUAUCCAUGGGCAGGUUGAAGGUUGGGUAACACUAACUGGAGGACCGAACCGACUACCGUUGAAAAGUUAGCGGAUGACCUGUGGAUCGGAGUGAAAGGCUAAUCAAGCUCGGAGAUAGCUGGUUCUCCUCGAAAGCUAUUUAGGUAGCGCCUCAUGUAUCACUGUAGGGGGUAGAGCACUGUUUCGGCUAGGGGGUCAUCCCGACUUACCAAACCGAUGCAAACUCCGAAUACCUACAAGUGCCGAGCAUGGGAGACACACGGCGGGUGCUAACGUCCGUCGUGAAAAGGGAAACAACCCAGACCGUCAGCUAAGGUCCCAAAGUCAUGGUUAAGUGGGAAACGAUGUGGGAAGGCUUAGACAGCUAGGAGGUUGGCUUAGAAGCAGCCACCCUUUAAAGAAAGCGUAAUAGCUCACUAGUCGAGUCGGCCUGCGCGGAAGAUGUAACGGGGCUCAAACCAUGCACCGAAGCUACGGGUAUCAUCUUAGGAUGAUGCGGUAGAGGAGCGUUCUGUAAGCCUGUGAAGGUGAGUUGAGAAGCUUGCUGGAGGUAUCAGAAGUGCGAAUGCUGACAUGAGUAACGACAAUGGGUGUGAAAAACACCCACGCCGAAAGACCAAGGUUUCCUGCGCAACGUUAAUCGACGCAGGGUUAGUCGGUCCCUAAGGCGAGGCUGAAAAGCGUAGUCGAUGGAAAACAGGUUAAUAUUCCUGUACUUCUGGUUAUUGCGAUGGAGGGACGGAGAAGGCUAGGCCAGCCUGGCGUUGGUUGUCCAGGUUUAAGGUGGUAGGCUGAGAUCUUAGGUAAAUCCGGGAUCUUAAGGCCGAGAGCUGAUGACGAGUGUUCUUUUAGAACACGAAGUGGUUGAUGCCAUGCUUCCAAGAAAAGCUUCUAAGCUUCAGGUAACCAGGAACCGUACCCCAAACCGACACAGGUGGUUGGGUAGAGAAUACCAAGGCGCUUGAGAGAACUCGGGUGAAGGAACUAGGCAAAAUGGCACCGUAACUUCGGGAGAAGGUGCGCCGGUGGAGGUGAAGCAUUUACUGCGUAAGCCCCUGCCGGUCGAAGAUACCAGGCCGCUGCGACUGUUUAUUAAAAACACAGCACUCUGCAAACACGAAAGUGGACGUAUAGGGUGUGACGCCUGCCCGGUGCCGGAAGGUUAAUUGAUGGGGUUAGCGCAAGCGAAGCUCUUGAUCGAAGCCCCGGUAAACGGCGGCCGUAACUAUAACGGUCCUAAGGUAGCGAAAUUCCUUGUCGGGUAAGUUCCGACCUGCACGAAUGGCGUAACGAUGGCGGCGCUGUCUCCACCCGAGACUCAGUGAAAUUGAAAUCGCUGUGAAGAUGCAGUGUAUCCGCGGCUAGACGGAAAGACCCCGUGAACCUUUACUAUAGCUUUGCACUGGACUUUGAAUUUGCUUGUGUAGGAUAGGUGGGAGGCUUUGAAGCGUGGACGCCAGUCUGCGUGGAGCCAACCUUGAAAUACCACCCUGGCAACUUUGAGGUUCUAACUCAGGUCCGUUAUCCGGAUCGAGGACAGUGUAUGGUGGGUAGUUUGACUGGGGCGGUCUCCUCCUAAAGAGUAACGGAGGAGUACGAAGGUGCGCUCAGACCGGUCGGAAAUCGGUCGUAGAGUAUAAAGGCAAAAGCGCGCUUGACUGCGAGACAGACACGUCGAGCAGGUACGAAAGUAGGUCUUAGUGAUCCGGUGGUUCUGUAUGGAAGGGCCAUCGCUCAACGGAUAAAAGGUACUCCGGGGAUAACAGGCUGAUACCGCCCAAGAGUUCAUAUCGACGGCGGUGUUUGGCACCUCGAUGUCGGCUCAUCACAUCCUGGGGCUGAAGCCGGUCCCAAGGGUAUGGCUGUUCGCCAUUUAAAGUGGUACGCGAGCUGGGUUUAGAACGUCGUGAGACAGUUCGGUCCCUAUCUGCCGUGGACGUUUGAGAUUUGAGAGGGGCUGCUCCUAGUACGAGAGGACCGGAGUGGACGAACCUCUGGUGUUCCGGUUGUCACGCCAGUGGCAUUGCCGGGUAGCUAUGUUCGGAAAAGAUAACCGCUGAAAGCAUCUAAGCGGGAAACUUGCCUCAAGAUGAGAUCUCACUGGAACCUUGAGUUCCCUGAAGGGCCGUCGAAGACUACGACGUUGAUAGGUUGGGUGUGUAAGCGCUGUGAGGCGUUGAGCUAACCAAUACUAAUUGCCCGUGAGGCUUGACCAUAUAACACCCAAGCAAUU
rnacentral:rRNA from 1 species